rnacentral:rRNA from 1 species
UACGGGGGGGGCAAGCGUUGUUCGGAAUUACUGGGCGUAAAGGGCUCGUAGGCGGCCAACUAAGUCGGAUGUGAAAUCCCCAGGCUCAACUUGGGAACUGCAUCCGAUACUGGAUGGCUUGAAUUCGGGAGAGGGAUGCAGAAUUCCAGGUGUAGCGGUGAAAUGCGUAGAUAUCUGGAGGAAUACCGAUGGCGAAGGCAGGUCUCUGGGCUGACACUGACGCUCAUGCACGAAAGCGUGGGGAGCAAACAGG